rnacentral:lncRNA from 1 species
UCUCUUUCUCUUCAUAGCCAGCACUGCCCUUCUCCCUCUCUUUAUAGUCGGCAUUACCCUUCUCUCUCUCUUCGCAACAGGUAUUACCCCCUUGACACCCACGAUGGAAGGCUCCCCCCCUUUUUCUGCCACAUGCUGCUUCAAUCCUAUCAGACUCCUACCACCGUAUGUUCUUCUGUGCCGGGGAAAUCAUGGUCCUUACAUGGCUCCUCUCUCUCAAACCCUCGAUGACCCUCUUUCUCAAACCCUCGCUAGCUCACUACACCUCUAUCUCAAUCUCUCUCCCACCUACCCCUCUCCACCCCUCUCUAUACAUCUCUCACUGCCCCUCUCUCUCGAUCUUCCUCUAUGCCCCUCUCACUCUCUAGAGAUACAGCCUAAAACAUAGAAAAUUGCUAAAAUUUCACAAAUUUUCUAUGCUCCAUUGCUGCUGCAAAGAUAAUUGGGACAAUCUUCGGUGGAUUGAGGUUCAUUCGCGGUUCAAGUAAGCUAUGGUUUACUCUUUGCAUUUUGAUUUUGUUGGUUCCAUUUUGGGUUUUGGGGGUUUUGGUUUUUCAGUCGUUGAAUGUGUUACUGUGAAUGGAUACAUAGCAACAAAACUAUGGUCAUAGAAAUUUUGUACACAUUAAUAUAUUACAAUAUCAAUGAACUGCAAGAAUAAACUGAGAAGUUAAAUGAUAGGGUUCCUAACCAAAAUCAUGAAACAUAGAAGUGAACAUUUCCCACCUGCCUUGGCACAGCUGAACUGUCCACACCUGAUAAAAUUGUAGACAGUAGCACCAAUUCCAUUGACAAACAAUCCAGGUCUCCCAAGCAAAUGUGCAGCUACUAUAAACUCAAUUUUGAUGAAAUCGACUAAGGAAACCAAAACCAUCUGAGAUUCUGUAGUCACUAAGGAAACCAAAACCCUCCUUUUGCUUCUUCUCACUGUGAAAGAAAUGACAAUGGCUAAGUGACAAGCAUAGCCUGUAUUUAUUGGUACCUUCUUGAGACCACACCAAGAUUUAGUCAUUUUGCAUGAAGUUUAUGGUUAACAAACCUUUGUGACUCCUCUGCAAUUAGCAUCCAUCAAGUUCUUUUUGGGUCCUCUCUCUCCCAAUCUCCCUCUAUGCCCCUCUCUAUCUCAAAAAAUACAACCUAAAACACAUAAAUUUUUUAAAAUUUCAAAAAACAAUUGUGCUCCAUUGCUGCUGCAAAGACGACUGGGGCAAUCUUCAGUAGAUUUGAAGUUCAUCCAAGGUUCAGGUACGCUAUCUUUGAAUCUUUUCCCCAUUAUUGUUGUAGUUUGAUUUCUAAAGUCAAUUUCUUUAUGUUUGUAGGAUAUCUUUGAAUCUAUUGUAGUGCUUUCUUUUAAUCUUUUUUUUUUUAGGAUACUAUGUUAGUGCGUUAUUUUGAUUUUUACAGGUGAUAUCAAUCUUUGUUUUGGGUUUUGGGGGUUUUGGUUAGCUCAGUGCUUAUCACAAGCUUUGCUCUGAGAUUUGUUCUCAAUAUGAUAAAACAAGUUUUCUAUUUUAUUUGGGGACGUAUUGGUUGCAAUUUCUUCUCUUCCUUUAGUGACAUAUGUUUUACCUUCCUUCCCCCACCCACUUCCUAGGAGUUAAGCAGUCUCCUGGUUAUAUCAGGUUUCUUUUUCUAACUUAUAGAAAAUUUAACAAGAUAAAGAUCCUACUUCUGUAAUUUGUAUUGUUGUCUCAUUCUCAUCAUACUAUUUUUCAUAAAAAUCUCAACGGAUAUUUGUGGGUAAGUUUGUUUUUCUUCCUAGUUUCUCAUGUAACGUACUGCACAUUUAGGCAUUCAUACUCAUCAUAAGUUUAUCUCACCCAAUCAUACUUAGUAGAGAUUACUUGGCUUUAAAGUUUCCAAUUGACUUCCAUAUCCUAAAGGUUUUUGGUACCUUUAACUUGCAUUGCUUAUAAACUGAUUAUGAUUUUUUUUGUUUUGUUCUACUUUGUGAGGAAAUAUUCAUUUUGUCAUCAGCUAGUUAAUAACAACUUACAAUUUUUUGGAAACUUUGCAUUUAACCUACACGUACCAUGCCAAGGUGUUUUCUGCCAUUCAUACGAUUCUUUUAUGUGUUUCUCGAGUUAUACUCACCAAAAUUUGGUAAUUUCCAUAUAUGCUGCCCUUUGAAGUGGAGAUUAUGAGUUUGCUGCUUGGAUAGCAAUUAUAUCUACGAUAGAUCUACCAUAGGCAAUUUAAAAAUGCAAAAAACUAACUUUCAUUUAUGAUCUUUCAAAGUGAAGCAGUAUUUCUAGGUUAUGAAGAUCAUGUGUAUACUUGUUACUGAUCGCAUGCAUAAGAGGGUGGGAUAGAGAAUUAGACUGGAAUAAUGUAUAUCUAAUAUGAACACAUGCACCAGUUUUUUACUGUGUCCACACAUCAUAAGUUACAUUGUAACAUCAUAAUUUUACAUUGUAAAGUGUUGAGAGCUUUAUGCAUGAAUUUAACUGUCCACACAUCAUAAGUUACAUUGUAACAUCAUAAUUUUACAUUGUAAAGUGUUGAGAGCUUUAUGCAUGAAUUUAACUGUUUGUGUUCCAUAUGGUUGUGAUGAAGUUCAACAUAGUAUUUUUCUUUUUAGAAUGUUAACGCCGAAGUUCUUCAUAGUUCUCUUGUAACUUCUAUGUAGAAUGAAUCUCAAUAACCAAUUCCCACCAUUAUUUUGUAAACGCGUACCACAAUGUGGUCGAAUGAACGUCCUUAUCGCAAAAACACGAGAUAACUACAAUAGGCCUUUCUACAAAUGCUUCAACUGGAACGUAUAUGACAUUCAUUCAUGAAAAUAAUGUAAAAGCACAUUAUUGUUCAAUUGUAGGCACAAACCUAAAACCCUUUAUAUGUUUGUGUUAACCACUAAAGGAAGUGGGAUGUGGCCAUCUAGUGUGGUGUGACGAGAUCCUAGGCCAAGAUAGGAAUUUAGAAGGUUCGUGUCACAGAGGCCAGAUGUUUAUGUCCCUGAUGGAGUACAUCCUGCUCUAUAUGAAGAAGAAAAGCCCAAAGUUGUUGCUAUGGUCCCUUAGAAAGUAGUCGUUGUAAAAUUUAUUAUUAUAAGCGCAGUUGUUC